UACGUAGGGUGCGAGCGUUAAUCGGAAUUACUGGGCGUAAAGCGUGCGCAGGCGGCCGCGCAAGUCGAGUGUGAAAGCCCCGGGCUUAACUUGGGAAUUGCGCUCGAAACUACGUGGCUGGAGUGUGGCAGAGGAAGGUGGAAUUCCAGGUGUAGCGGUGAAAUGCGUAGAGAUCUGGAGGAACACCGAUGGCGAAGGCAGCCUUCUGGGCCAACACUGACGCUCAUGCACGAAAGCGUGGGGAGCAAACAGG
rnacentral:rRNA from 1 species